GAUGAACGCUAGCGGCAGGCUUAAUACAUGCAAGUCGAGGGACAGCACAGGUAGCAAUACUGGGUGGUAACCGGCAAACGGGUGCGGAACACGUACACAACCUUCCUUUAAGUGGGGGAUAGCCCAGAGAAAUUUGGAUUAAUACCCCGUAAUAUAGUUGAAUGGCAUCAUUUGAUUAUUAUAGCUACGGCGCUUAAUGAUGGGUGUGCGGCUGAUUAGAUAGUUGGCGGGGUAACGGCCCACCAAGUCUACGAUCAGUAGCUGAUGUGAGGGCAUGAUCAGCCACACUGGCACUGGGACACGGGCCCGACUCCUACGGGAGGCAGCAGUAAGGAAUAUUGGUCAAUGGACGCAAGUCUGAACCAGCCAUGCCGCGUGAAGGAUUAAGGUCCUCUGGAUUGUAAACUUCUUUUAUUUGGGACGAAAAAGGGCCUUUCUAGGUCAACUGACGGUACCAGAUGAAUAAGCACCGGCUAACUCCGUGCCAGCCGCCGCCGUAACAC
rnacentral:rRNA from 1 species